rnacentral:misc_RNA from 1 species
UUUCUGGCUGCAACCAGGCUUGUCUGGCAAUGAAAUUACAAUGAAGACAUUUAGAAAUCUAAAAAAAUAUAUACAUUAAGCCAACUAUCAUAUCAUGUACAAGAAUGCAUAUACAGAGAAGCAUAUUUACAUUCAACUACACGUCAGAUAUCUAAAGCUUUUAACAAACAGUGGAACCAACACAAUAUUAUAGUCCUCAACAUAUGAGGUGGGUAAUAGGGGAAGGAUGAAUAAUGACAUGGGUGGCAGACAGGUUUUCAUCUCCUUAGAUUAGAUGACAGAGACCAACACCUGAAUCCAAUCACUAGUAAACUUCACCGUUAGAUCCAAUUUCAUUGCUCUAUUCUCAGGCUUUAACUAUAAGUCAUUUGGUCAAAUGUGAGCAAAUAAAAGGUACUACUUUUAUUCGUUGGGAGAUCAAACUCAUAAAAUUUUAUGUUAAUCAUGCACUACAACUAGCCUCAAAUAAAUGCCAUGAAGGCCACACCAAGGACUAAAAAGCUGACCAACCAUCUGCUUUGGCAUAUUUAAGGAAAAUCCUAUCCAAUUAUGUCCAUUAACCAACUGCACUCUGCCACUUUUAGCAUUUGAUAACCAGAAAGUAAUGACACUGUUGCAAAUAAGAUUUACAGUUAAGGCCAAGUUCUCAGGUCUCUCUAGUUAAAACAUUCUCGGAUCAGCUUGUUAAGUUUAUUGGUACACUUGUUCCUUUCACAUUACAAUCCCAUCUUAACCCUUAAAAUCCUUCCGUGUUAACUAAAUGACUAUAAAUGACUGGAUUUGAACCAUGAUGCAGCCCAAUAAUACUAUGCCAUUUAAUGGCAAGCAAAUAAAGAGGUACGCAAGCCACCUUCUAACUGACGAAGAUGAUAACUACUCACUGCAAUGUCUCCAUUCUAUGGUGAUCCUAGAUCUACUGACCAACAAAAAGUCAUCAGCAUUCUGUUGGCUAAUUUUAAUAGUGAUGAUACUGUGGGAUGCUUCGUGCACUGG